UUCACUCAGUCCAGAUUCGGAUUCGGUUUUGAGGAUUAUUUUGGGUUCGGGUCAACGCUCGAGUCAACUCGGGCCAACAACAAGGGUCAACAAAGACAAGUGGUCAGCCGGCUUGAGAUAUAUCAGUUUUGGUUCGAUCAAGGAUGGUCAAUGUUAGGCUCGGUUAGCCGUAGUCGACUCAUUCAGCCAACAAAAAGUCAAACCCGGUUGGCUCGGUCAACACCCGAGUCAACUCGGGUCAACAACGGUCAAACAUGUCAACGCCCGGUCAACUCAGGACCCGGAAUGUCAUAGUUGCACGCUAGCUACUUCAUGUUCUUGGAAUGACACUACGACAUCACGGAAUCACGAUAAGCUAGCUUUGCACAGGAAUGUCAAGGUUGCAUUUUCAAAACUAUGGAACGGUUGGAAUAGGAGAACCCAUGGGAAUUCGAG